rnacentral:tRNA from 1 species
UUGAGGGCUUGUCGCAUGGCGUGACGCUGGGCCUUGGACCCAGUACCAGCAGGUUCGAUUCCUGCGCUCUCAGCCAA